rnacentral:rRNA from 1 species
CCUACGGGGGGCAGCAGUGAGGAAUAUUGGUCAAUGGCCGGAAGGCUGAACCAGCCAUGCCGCGUGAAGGUCAGUGCCCUAUGGGCGUUUAACUUCUUUUUUUCGGGAGCAAUAAUGGUCACGUGUGGCCAGACGAGAGUACCGUACGAAUAAGCAUCAGCUAACUCCGUGCCAGCAGCCGCGGUAAUACGGAGGAUCCGAGCGUUAUCCGGAUUUAUUGGGUUUAAAGGGGGCGUAGAUGGGUUGUUAAGUCAGGUGUGAAAGUUUGCGGCUCAACCGGAAAAUUGCAAUUGAUACUGGCAGUCUUGAGUACAGUAGAGGUAGGCGGAAUUCGUGGUGUAGCGGUGAAAUGCUUAGAUAGCACGAAGAACUCCGAUUGCGAAGGCAGCUUACUAGACUGCAACUGACAUUGAUGCUCGAAAGUGUGGGUAUCAAACAGGAUUAGAUACCCGGGUAGUC